CCUACGGGAGGCAGCAGUGGGGAAUAUUGGACAAUGGGGGGAACCCUGAUCCAGCGACGCCGCGUGAGUGAAGAAGUAUUUCGGUAUGUACAGCUCUAUCAGCAGGGAAGAAAGAAAUGACGGUACCUGACUAAGAAGCCCCGGCUAACUACGUGCCAGCAGCCGCGGUAAUACGUAGGGGGCAAGCGUUAUCCGGAUUUACUGGGUGUAAAGGGAGCGUAGACGGCGAUGCAAGUCUGAAGUGAAAGGCGGGGGACCAACCCCCGGACUGCUUUGGAAACUGUAUGGCUGGAGUGCAGGAGAGGUAAGUGGAAUUCCUAGUGUAGCGGUGAAAUGCGUAGAUAUACGGAGGAACACCAGUGGCGAAGGCGGCCUGCUGGACAUUAACUGACGCUGAGGCGCGAAAGCGUGGGGAGCAAACAGGAUUAGAUACCCGGGUAGGC
rnacentral:rRNA from 1 species